GCCCACGGAAACAACAGCAGCUUCAGGAAUGCAACAAUCUGACCUGAACAUUUCCAGAAUCCCUGUUGCCAUUGAACGGAAUAUCAUCUGAUUUGAUUGAAGGCGAAGGGGUAGGAUUAACGAAGAAUCCUUAAAUUUCCUCAACAUCAUCGACUUCCUCUUCUUCAGCAUUCUCAUCAGCUUCGGGAAUCGGUAUAAAUCUGCUACCAGCGGUUGGAGAUAGCAGGAGCUCAUCGUCAUCAUAGGAUCUCGAAUUAGAAGUUUUGGUGGUUGAAUUUACUGGUUAUUGGGGUUCAUGUCUUGGGAUGGUAGUCUUAAUGACUCUGGGUGAAGAUUCCCCGCAACAACUUUUUUCUGUUCAUGUUUGGGCUUGUUUUUGUAGUUGGAGUUGCUAUCGGCGUUAGAGUUGAUGGCGGCAUUGGUGUUAUGAACGGCAUCAUUUUGUGGGUGGGAAUGAGAGUGGAGAUUCUUGUGGAUGGCUAGUAAAGGAAUAUAUUUCUAGGCAGAAUUGUAGACGGGGAACACGAGGCUGCCAUGCUUACUGACAUGGGCGGCUACGUAAGGGAACUGAAAAGUGUAUGCACAUUCUGCCGUGUAUAUUGUCGUGCCUUGAUCUGUCUUCACGCUAUUCAAACAGA
rnacentral:misc_RNA from 1 species